rnacentral:rRNA from 1 species
UACGUAGGAGGCGAGCGUUGUCCGGAUUUACUGGGCGUAAAGGGCGCGCAGGCGGCACGCUAAGUAAGGUGUGAAAUCUCCCUGCUCAACGGGGAGGGAGCACUUUAGACUGGCGAGCUAGAGGACGGUAGAGGGGGGUGGAAUUGCUGGUGUAGCGGUGAAAUGCGUAGAGAUCAGCAGGAACACCCGUGGCGAAGGCGGCCCCCUGGGCCGAACCUGACGCUGAGGCGCGAAGGCUAGGGGAGCGAACGGG